rnacentral:rRNA from 1 species
AUACGGAGGGUGCAAGCGUUACUCGGAAUCACUGGGCGUAAAGCGCGCGCAGGCGGUCUUUUAAGUUGGAUGUGAAAGCCUACGGCUCAACCGUAGAACUGCAUCCAAAACUAUUAGACUAGAGUGUGGGAGAGGAAGAUGGAAUUAGUUGUGUAGGGGUAAAAUCCGUAGAGAUAACUAGGGAUACCAAAAGCGAAGGCAAUCUUCUGGAACACUACUGACGCUGAGGCGCGAAAGCGUGGGGAGCAAACAGGAUUAGAAACCCUUGUAGUCC